AGUGAACGCUGGCGGUAGGCCUAACACAUGCAAGUCGAACGGCAGCACAGUAAGAGCUUGCUCUUACGGGUGGCGCGUGGCGGACGGGUGAGGAAUACAUCGGAAUCUACUUUUUCGUGGGGGAUAACGUAGGGAAACUUACGCUAAUACCGCAUACGACCUACGGGUGAAAGCAGGGGAUCUUCGGACCUUGCGCGAUUGAAUGAGCCGAUGUCGGAUUAGCUAGUUGGCGGGGUAAAGGCCCACCAAGGCGACGAUCCGUAGCGGGUCUGAGAGGAUGAUCAGCCACACUGGAACUGAGACACGGUCCAGACUCCUACGGGAGGCAGCAGUGGGGAAUAUUGGACAAUGGGCGCAAGCCUGAUCCAGCCAUACCGCGUGGGUGAAGAAGGCCUUCGGGUUGUAAAGCCCUUUUGUUGGGAAAGAAAUCCAGCCGGCUAAUACCUGGUUGGGAUGACGGUACCCAAAGAAUAAGCACCGGCUAACUUCGUGCCAGCCGCCGCCGUAA
rnacentral:rRNA from 1 species